rfam:Myotis brandtii contig260514, whole genome shotgun sequence.
GCCAGUGUUGCUAAGUGGUUAGAGCAUCAGCCAGAGCACUGAAGGUUCACGGGUUCUAUUCCUGGUCAAGGGCA